rnacentral:rRNA from 1 species
GACGAACGCUGGCGGCGUGCUUAACACAUGCAAGUCGAGCGGAAAGGCCCUUCGGGGUACUCGAGCGGCGAACGGGUGAGUAACACGUGGGCAAUCUGCCCCUCGCUCUGGGAUAACUCCGGGAAACCGGGGCUAAUACCGGAUAUGGACCAUUUGAGGCAUCUCGGGUGGUGGAAAGUUUUUCGGCGAGGGAUGGGCCCGCGGCCUAUCAGCUUGUUGGUGGGGUAAUGGCCUACCAAGGCAGUGACGGGUAGCCGGCCUGAGAGGCGACCGGCCACACUGGGACUGAGACACGGCCCAGACUCCUACGGGAGGCAGCAGUGGGGAAUAUUGCGCAAUGGGCGAAAGCCUGACGCAGCGACGCCGCGUGAGGGAUG